ensembl:lncRNA
AUUUUUAACUGUUCCACGCAGCGCUAAUUGGUUUCUCACCCAGCCCAAUUUAGACUGAGCAGCCAGCAUGUCACGACCCUUCCUCGUAAUAAGGAACAAAAAAAUUUCACCCUUCCUGUGUACGCCAUUCUGAUUGUUUAAGGUGCACAGAAAAGCAAACACACACACACACACAGAGACAGACAGUUUGAGAGUUUCUUUAUUAUCUUCAUAUUUUGCAGUCUUGCCUCAGCAAAUAUCUUCUAUUCUGCACUACUUUUGUUCAGAUGCACUGCUUCUCACACUUUGGCGAGGGGGAGCCAUUUUUUGCCCAUUCGGGAGGCUUAACUGCAAUCAUCUUCAUGACCACCGAGCAGAAAAACGAGCUGAAAAAUGUCACCAGAUGUCGCUUGGAAAACGUUGGCUUUGUCCGAAAUCGACGUCCGACGUUUCGUCAACAGUUGGAAACUGAUAUUUCGCACGCUGACGGAUGUAGAGUUGCAGAGCAGCAGUUACGUUAUCUGUGAAAUGGGAAUCAUUUGUGUGAGAGGAAAAGUUGUUGUAUUGUUAAAAUGGAGUCAACUUUUAGGCGACCAUAUGCUUAAAAACACUUUUGUGUCGGAUUUUAGACAGUAACAGAAAAUGGUGGAAGGUAAAUGUAGGGCAGUUGAUAGAAAGUAGGGAGGCACAGAGAACCCUGGACAUUGUGCCCUUAUUUAAGAUUCUUCAGCUCAAAAAGGGUGGAGGAUAUUCCUCAACAUACUGUCAAACUUCAUCCAGAAUCCACAUUGUUAUACUCAAUGUUUUAAACAUAUUUUGUAAGAUGUAUAAUCCAUGCAUACGUGUAGUGGUGCCUACGCUAUAUCAGUCUUUUUUGUCUGCAUUUCUUCGUGGGAACUGUUUGCAUCUGCGAUUACGCUCGGUGUGUCCGUCCUCCUGGUGGUGGCAGGAUGUUUUCACCCAAUAACACAGAGGUGUGAUCAUAACACCUCUGAAGGGUUCUAAUACAGACACAUAUACACACGUCCUGUCUACAAAGACAGAACGCAUCCUUACACAUUCAUCAGGGAGAGUUUCUGAUGGUCGCAAAGUUAUCAGCUCUCAUGCUGGGACAAUUGAUUAAAAAGCAAACUGUUUUAUUUAUAGGGAUACCACACACCUUUUUGUCAGUGGGUUUUUAGUCUGAGGCUUCAGUUUUAUUUUCAAUUAGUAUUUCUAUUCAAGUCAUUACUGUUUCUAGUAGAUAGUAUGAGUAUAAACAUGAACCUGAUUAAACUAAUGUAAAUCUAGUAGUAUUUGAAUUCCAUGUAUGAGACUCAGAAGCAAUUUGCAGGCAGAUCUAUCUACUUCUUUGUAUCUAAAUCUACUUUUUUAAAUUAACUUGUGUUUAAUCAAAUCCAUCAAUCUCUAUCCAAAGUAUGGGUCCUGUUGGAUGAUUCAUUUGACCCGUGGGGACCUAUUUUACACAAGAAACAGAAACAUUGAAGGAAAGACACACCUGUUGGCCUCUCCAGAAGUUGGCUUUCUGAGUUUAUCAGCGUUGGUAGUAUAAUGGAGCCAAAGUGGCUGAAUUGUUUGUAAAGUGAGAAUAACUUUCGUUGUUCUGUGUUUUUCCUCUUCCUCUCUUCUUCUUUCUAUCUGUUCAACUGCCCUCCCUCUUCAUCACUGUGGGAUCGAUGAACAGUGUGUUGAUUUUAAUAACCUGAAACUCUGUUUCUGUUAUUCAUGUGGUUUACUAUGAUAUCAUGUUUAUCCAAAAAACAUGAACCCGCAGUGGUGCAUCUGCUUUGAUCUGUGACUCGUCAGCUUCACCGUGUUCAGUCCAAAGCGUUUCGAAUCUCGAUGAGGAAUUUACAAUACGCAGUGUGUUUAGUGAUUUGCAUACAAAGUGGAUCCAUCCCUGACAAGUUGUGACCUUUCCAGAAUUGAUAUGAAUUCUAUUAAUUUUAGUCACAUUCCGAGUGCAGCCGAUGCCGGUCGAUCCGUCCACUACUGUGGUCCGCCAUGAAAGAUCUCAAACUGUUUGGUACUUUGGUGAUCUUUUGUCUUUUCUCAUUUGACUUUUGUGGCUUUGACUGAAAAACAAAUGGAUGGAUUGACAUCGUCGUAAAAACUUUGUACCUUCACCAACAUGACGAGCCGUGUGCCAUCCACCCGCUGCGUCAUUACAUGGGAAUGCAUGUGACGAUCCCUUUUAAAUAUAAUUCAGCUCAAUGUUGACAAACCAGCAGCUAACAUUGGAAGGAGGGUUUGUAAAAGUUUGCAGACUGCAGUGAAUGACGGCCGAAUACUUUAAAGACAAACACUGAGCUGAAAAGAGUCAAAGUUAUGUUCAGUCACUGUCUUUGAUGCAUCUUAGAAUCAAACGAUCUCCACAGAAUCUUCUAAAAAUGGAUUUUGUACAUGUGCAUGCCCUGCAAAUGCGAACGCGUAGUUCAGAUAUCCGGUGCUGGAUGUCCUCUUGUGUGGUAACGAGACGUGAUAAAUGGUUUCCAGUCCAUCAAAACAGUACGACCCAGCAUUAUCCCGUGAGCCCGGCUGGAUCGGCUCUGAUUAGUCCCGCAUGAAGAGCUAAUAAGAGCCUAACAACCAAGACCAGAUGUGCUUUUUUCAUCAGAGGGCUGAUGGAGGAGGAGGAGGAUCAGCAUUUAACCUUUGUGUAAGUGCAAGGAGAUAAGAAGGGUAAAUGUGGCUGCUUAAAAGUAGACACGGACCUGUGCUGUACAGCACGUGAGGGCACACGCACACACACGCACAGUAAUUCAUUGUUAC